GACGAACGCUGGCGGCGUGCUUAACACAUGCAAGUCGAACGGUGAAGCUCCAGCUUGCUGGAGUGGAUCAGUGGCGAACGGGUGAGUAACACGUGAGCAACCUGCCCCUGACUCUGGAAUAAGCGCUGGAAACGGCGUCUAAUACUGGAUACGAGAAGGGUCCGCAUGGGCACUUUCUGGAAAGUUUUUCGGUUGGGGAUGGGCUCGCGGCCUAUCAGCUUGUUGGUGAGGUAAUGGCUCACCAAGGCGACGACGGGUAGCCGGCCUGAGAGGGCGACCGACCACACUGGGACUGAGACACGGCCCAGACUCCUACGGGAGGCAGCAGUGGGGAAUAUUGCACAAUGGGCGAAAGCCUGAUGCAGCGACGCCGCGUGAGGGAUGACGGCCUUCGGGUUGUAAACCUCUUUCAGCAGGGAAGAAGCGAAAGUGACGGUACCUGCAGAAGAAGCACCGGCUAACUACGUG
rnacentral:rRNA from 1 species